GAGAGUAUAAAUACAAAAAUAAAAAAUAAGUAAUUCCCAACUCGUUAUUUCCUCUCAGACCCACUCUCCGCUGCUCUGACAUUGGCAAAGCAAUCCUCCACCGACGUCGGCAAAGAGAUCCUCCAUCUCGCACGCCUUUCCAUACCAGUGUCAGAAAUCGACGGCCAUCUGAAAACUCCAUCUCCGAAAUCCUCCUCACUAUGUGUUUCAGCGGCAAGCUUCUGUCAUCACCGAUUGAAUUGGACAAGGCCCAUUAUA